AGCGUACACGGUGGAUGCCCUGGCAGUCAGAGGCGAUGAAGGACGUGCUAAUCUGCGAUAAGCGUCGGUAAGGUGAUAUGAACCGUUAUAACCGGCGAUUUCCGAAUGGGGAAACCCAGUGUGAUUCGUCACACUAUCAUUAACUGAAUCCAUAGGUUAAUGAGGCGAACCGGGGGAACUGAAACAUCUAAGUACCCCGAGGAAAAGAAAUCAACCGAGAUUCCCCCAGUAGCGGCGAGCGAACGGGGAGCAGCCCAGAGCCUGAAUCAGUGUGUGUGUUAGUGGAAGCGUCUGGAAAGGCGCGCGAUACAGGGUGACAGCCCCGUACACAAAAAUGCACAUGCUGUGAGCUCGAUGAGUAGGGCGGGACACGUGGUAUCCUGUCUGAAUAUGGGGGGACCAUCCUCCAAGGCUAAAUACUCCUGACUGACCGAUAGUGAACCAGUACCGUGAGGGAAAGGCGAAAAGAACCCCGGCGAGGGGAGUGAAAAAGAACCUGAAACCGUGUACGUACAAGCAGUGGGAGCACGCUUAGGCGUGUGACUGCGUACCUUUUGUAUAAUGGGUCAGCGACUUAUAUUCUGUAGCAAGGUUAACCGAAUAGGGGAGCCGAAGGGAAACCGAGUCUUAACUGGGCGUUAAGUUGCAGGGUAUAGACCCGAAACCCGGUGAUCUAGCCAUGGGCAGGUUGAAGGUUGGGUAACACUAACUGGAGGACCGAACCGACUAAUGUUGAAAAAUUAGCGGAUGACUUGUGGCUGGGGGUGAAAGGCCAAUCAAACCGGGAGAUAGCUGGUUCUCCCCGAAAGCUAUUUAGGUAGCGCCUCGUGAAUUCAUCUCCGGGGGUAGAGCACUGUUUCGGCAAGGGGGUCAUCCCGACUUACCAACCCGAUGCAAACUGCGAAUACCGGAGAAUGUUAUCACGGGAGACACACGGCGGGUGCUAACGUCCGUCGUGAAGAGGGAAACAACCCAGACCGCCAGCUAAGGUCCCAAAGUCAUGGUUAAGUGGGAAACGAUGUGGGAAGGCCCAGACAGCCAGGAUGUUGGCUUAGAAGCAGCCAUCAUUUAAAGAAAGCGUAAUAGCUCACUGGUCGAGUCGGCCUGCGCGGAAGAUGUAACGGGGCUAAACCAUGCACCGAAGCUGCGGCAGCGACGCUUAUGCGUUGUUGGGUAGGGGAGCGUUCUGUAAGCCUGUGAAGGUGUGCUGUGAGGCAUGCUGGAGGUAUCAGAAGUGCGAAUGCUGACAUAAGUAACGAUAAAGCGGGUGAAAAGCCCGCUCGCCGGAAGACCAAGGGUUCCUGUCCAACGUUAAUCGGGGCAGGGUGAGUCGACCCCUAAGGCGAGGCCGAAAGGCGUAGUCGAUGGGAAACAGGUUAAUAUUCCUGUACUUGGUGUUACUGCGAAGGGGGGACGGAGAAGGCUAUGUUGGCCGGGCGACGGUUGUCCCGGUUUAAGCGUGUAGGCUGGUUUUCCAGGCAAAUCCGGAAAAUCAAGGCUGAGGCGUGAUGACGAGGCACUACGGUGCUGAAGCAACAAAUGCCCUGCUUCCAGGAAAAGCCUCUAAGCAUCAGGUAACAUCAAAUCGUACCCCAAACCGACACAGGUGGUCAGGUAGAGAAUACCAAGGCGCUUGAGAGAACUCGGGUGAAGGAACUAGGCAAAAUGGUGCCGUAACUUCGGGAGAAGGCACGCUGAUAUGUAGGUGAAGUCCCUCGCGGAUAGAGCUGAAAUCAGUCGAAGAUACCAGCUGGCUGCAACUGUUUAUUAAAAACACAGCACUGUGCAAACACGAAAGUGGACGUAUACGGUGUGACGCCUGCCCGGUGCCGGAAGGUUAAUUGAUGGGGUUAGCGCAAGCGAAGCUCUUGAUCGAAGCCCCGGUAAACGGCGGCCGUAACUAUAACGGUCCUAAGGUAGCGAAAUUCCUUGUCGGGUAAGUUCCGACCUGCACGAAUGGCGUAAUGAUGGCCAGGCUGUCUCCACCCGAGACUCAGUGAAAUUGAACUCGCUGUGAAGAUGCAGUGUACCCGCGGCAAGACGGAAAGACCCCGUGAACCUUUACUAUAGCUUGACACUGAACAUUGAGCCUUGAUGUGUAGGAUAGGUGGGAGGCUUUGAAGUGUGGACGCCAGUCUGCAUGGAGCCGACCUUGAAAUACCACCCUUUAAUGUUUGAUGUUCUAACGUUGACCCGUGAUCCGGGUUGCGGACAGUGUCUGGUGGGUAGUUUGACUGGGGCGGUCUCCUCCUAAAGAGUAACGGAGGAGCACGAAGGUUGGCUAAUCCUGGUCGGACAUCAGGAGGUUAGUGCAAUGGCAUAAGCCAGCUUGACUGCGAGCGUGACGGCGCGAGCAGGUGCGAAAGCAGGUCAUAGUGAUCCGGUGGUUCUGAAUGGAAGGGCCAUCGCUCAACGGAUAAAAGGUACUCCGGGGAUAACAGGCUGAUACCGCCCAAGAGUUCAUAUCGACGGCGGUGUUUGGCACCUCGAUGUCGGCUCAUCACAUCCUGGGGCUGAAGUAGGUCCCAAGGGUAUGGCUGUUCGCCAUUUAAAGUGGUACGCGAGCUGGGUUUAGAACGUCGUGAGACAGUUCGGUCCCUAUCUGCCGUGGGCGCUGGAGAAUUGAGGGGGGCUGCUCCUAGUACGAGAGGACCGGAGUGGACGCAUCACUGGUGUUCGGGUUGUCAUGCCAAUGGCACUGCCCGGUAGCUAAAUGCGGAAGAGAUAAGUGCUGAAAGCAUCUAAGCACGAAACUUGCCCCGAGAUGAGUUCUCCCUGACUCCUUGA
rnacentral:rRNA from 1 species